rnacentral:tRNA from 1 species
GGUGGGGUCGCAUAGUGGUUGAUUGCGCUGGUUUCGAAAACCGGUGUCGCCGAAAGGCGACCGUGAGUUCGAAUCUCACCCCCACCG